rnacentral:rRNA from 1 species
GACGAACGCUGGCGGCGUGCUUAACACAUGCAAGUCGAACGAUGAAGCUGGAGCUUGCUCCAGUGGAUUAGUGGCGAACGGGUGAGUAACACGUGAGCAAUCUGCCCUUGACUCUGGGAUAACUGCGGGAAACUGUAGCUAAUACCGGAUACGACACCUUGGGGCAUCCCGGGGUGUGGAAAGAAUUUCGGUCAAGGAUGAGCUCGCGGCCUAUCAGCUUGUUGGGGAGGUAAAGGCUCACCAAGGCGACGACGGGAAGCCGGCCUGAGAGGGUGACCGGCCACACUGGAACUGAGACACGGUCCAGACUCCUACGGGAGGCAGCAGUGGGGAAUAUUGCACAAUGGGCGAAAGCCUGAUGCAGCAACGCCGCGUGAGGGAUGACGGCCUUCGGGUUGUAGACCUCUUUUAGCAGGGAAGAAGCGAAAGUGACGGUACCUGCAGAAAAAGCACCGGCUAACUACGUGCCAGCCGCCGCCGUAA